rnacentral:rRNA from 1 species
UACGGGGGGGGCAAGCGUUGUUCGGAAUUACUGGGCGUAAAGGGCUCGUAGGCGGUCAACUAAGUCAGACGUGAAAUCCCUCGGCUUAACCGGGGAACUGCGUCUGAUACUGGAUGGCUAGAGUGUGGGAGAGGGAUGCGGAAUUCCAGGUGUAGCGGUGAAAUGCGUAGAUAUCUGGAGGAACACCGGUGGCGAAGGCGGCAUCCUGGACCACGACUGACGCUGAGUGAGCGAAAGCCAGGGGAGCAAACGGG